GAUUCAGCUUCCAAACUUGAUUAAAAACAGCCUAACAAUUUCUGCACUUAAAGACAUGUGUGGUUGAAGCGCCCAGUAAAUUGCUGCAGAAAGGAGGUGGCUGAGUGCUUCACUGGGGAAGAUGCGGAGCUUAAAGCAAAGCAGGUAGAGAAAAGGCUACAGAAGAGCAUCAUGCCCACCAAAGCACACAGGCUUUCGCACGAAACUAAAAGGAAGGAACGAGAAUACACAAAAGGAAGGCUGACUCCAGAGAAGUUUGCCCUAAAGAUUAACUGGAAAAAGGAAGUCCACAGCAAUUAAAACCUC